CAAAAGAACAGAAGACUGCACACACAUGUGGGAGGAAAAGCCUUGCUAGAUUAAAAAAAGAGAUGGAAACCAGAACUAAACGAAAGGUUCAUAGGAUAGAACUAUGGGAGGCAGCUCAUAAAAAGAAGAAUGGUAGAUACACAACAGAAAAGGCAGAGACACUGAUGGCUGCAUCUUAUGAGGAAUUUAAAAAAAGGAGAGGGAAC